CUGAUUAGACCUGUCCUUGAUUGACAGCUCCAUCGCUCUCCUGUUGCACAUGUUAGGGUGGGACAAACUCCUGAAGGACUUGUCACCUGUAUUUUCCCUGUGGGUCAUUCGUUUCACAGGAAUUCUAAAACAAGGACGGUGUCACACGAAGCUCCCCACGCAGAAAGCGUCAUUUACUGAGAGGAGGAGGUCUAAAGCAGAAGUGAUGAAGGCAGCCUCAUACAGUACCUGUUUCAGCGGCAGCACUGAGACUCACAGUAUAAGUAAGUGUGUGCGCGUGCUGUGCGGAGGAGGGGGAGGCGACGGCAGAGGACGAAGACAGUGAGGAGGUGGGGGGCUGAGGGGUGGAGGAGGAGGAAGUGGAGGCAACGGUGGCAGCUGCUGAUGAAGUCUCGAUCUUGCUGCUGUGUGUGAUGAAGCGCAGUCGCAGCUUCAUGGCCGGACGUAAGGUCAUGAUGAUUUUCUCCACCUGGAGAAAGAGAAACCGAGAGAAAGUGAAGAACAGAUGUGUAUACACAAAUGUAGUUGGGCAGCAAUGUAUUGAUAACUACAAAAAAAAAGAGUAAAAGUAAGGUAGAGAAAGAAACCGUUUAAGAAAAUCUACUAAAUGCAUGAUUCUGAUUUUGAUUUAAACUGACCUCUACAGUUAA